rnacentral:rRNA from 1 species
AGAACGAACGUUAGCGGUGUGGAUUAGGCAUGCAAGUCGAGCGCGAAAGCCCGCAAGGGUGAGUAAAGCGGCGAAAGGGUGAGUAAUACGUAGUCAACUUACCCCUGAGACCGGAAUAACCGACGGAAACGUUGGCUAAUGCCGGAUGGCCCUUCUGGGAGGCAUCUCCUGGUUGGUAAACGGUGGCGUAAGCUGCUGCUCGGGGAGGGGGCUAGUGGGAUAUCAGCUAGUUGGUGGGGUAAUUGGCCUACCGAAGGCGAGUGACGUCUAGGCCGGUCUGAGAGGAUGGUCGGCCACAUUGGGACUUGAGACACUGACCCCAAACGUCCGUACGGGGAGGCUACGCAGUCGAGGAUCCGUUCGCAAAGUGGCAAAGGCCUGGACGGAGC